GACGAACGCUGGCGGCGUGCUUAACACAUGCAAGUCGAACGCAGUGGCGAACGGGUGUGUAACGUGUAAUCAACCUGCCCUUCAGAGGGGGACAACAGUUGGAAACGACUGCUAAUACCGCAUACUGAAGGAGGGGAUUGCGUCUGCUUAGCUAGUUGGAUGGGUAACGGCCCAACAAGGCGAUGAUCAGUAGCCGGUCUGAGAGGUUGAACGGCCACAUUGGGACGUAGAAACGGCCCAGACUCCUACGGGAGGCAGCAGUGGGGAAUCUUCCGAAAUGGACGGAAGUCGGACGGAGCAACGCCGCGUGAGUGAUGACGGCCUUCGGGUUGUAAAGCUCUGUUAAUCGGGACGCGGUACCGGAAUAGAAAGCCACGGCUAACUACGUGCCAGCAGCCGCGGUAAUAC
rnacentral:rRNA from 1 species